CCUACGGGAGGCAGCAGUGAGGAAUAUUGGUCAAUGGCCGAGAGGCUGAACCAGCCAAGUAGCGUGAAGGAAGACUGUCCUACGGAUUGUAAACUUCUUUUGUAAGGGAAUAAAGUCACUCACGUGUGGGUGUUUGAGUGUACCUUAUGAAUAAGCAUCGGCUAACUCCGUGCCAGCAGCCGCGGUAAUACGGAGGAUGCGAGCGUUAUCCGGAUUUAUUGGGUUUAAAGGGAGCGUAGGCGGGUUAUCAAGUCAGUGGUAAAAUCGUGGGGCUCAACUCCAUCCAGCCGUUGAAACUGGUGAGCUUGAGUGCGCGGGAAGUAGGCGGAAUUCGUGGUGUAGCGGUGAAAUGCUUAGAUAUCACGAAGAACUCCGAUUGCGAAGGCAGCAUACCGGCGCCCGACUGACGCUGAAGCACGAAAGCGUGGGUAUCGAACAGGAUUAGAUACCCUGGUAGUC
rnacentral:rRNA from 1 species